rnacentral:rRNA from 1 species
UUAAAUUGAAGAGUUUGAUCAUGGCUCAGAUUGAACGCUGGCGGCAGGCCUAACACAUGCAAGUCGAGCGGAAACGAGUUAUCUGAACCUUCGGGGAACGAUAACGGCGUCGAGCGGCGGACGGGUGAGUAAUGCCUAGGAAAUUGCCCUGAUGUGGGGGAUAACCAUUGGAAACG